CCUACGGGCGGCUGCAGUGGGGAAUAUUGCACAAUGGGCGCAAGCCUGAUGCAGCCAUGCCGCGUGUGUGAAGAAGGCCUUCGGGUUGUAAAGCACUUUCAGCAGGGAGGAAGGCGUUAAGGUUAAUAACCUUGGCGAUUGACGUUACCCGCAGAAGAAGCACCGGCUAACUCCGUGCCGGCAGCCGCGGUAAUACGGAGGGUGCAAGCGUUAAUCGGAAUUACUGGGCGUAAAGCGCACGCAGGCGGUCUGUCAAGUCGGAUGUGAAAUCCCCGGGCUCAACCUGGGAACUGCAUUCGAAACUGGCAGGCUAGAGGCUUGUUGAGGGGGGUAGAAUUCCAGGUGUAGCGGUGAAAUGCGUAGAGAUCUGGAGGAAUACCGGUGGCGAAGGCGGCCCCCUGGACAAAGACUGACGCUCAGGUGCGAAAGCGUGGGGAGCAAACAGGAUUAGAUACCCCGGUAGUC
rnacentral:rRNA from 1 species